GCCUUCGUGGCGUAGUGGUCAACACUCUGGGCGCGUAUUCCAGAGAUCCGUGUUUCGAGUCCCGGUGAAGGCG
rfam:Stegodyphus mimosarum contig64335, whole genome shotgun sequence.